rnacentral:rRNA from 1 species
GGCGCACGGGUGCGUAACGCGUAUGCAAUCUACCCUUUACUGGAGAAUAGCCCGGAGAAAUUCGGAUUAAUGCUCCAUAUGCUCGUAGGAUCUCCUGAUCCAGCGAGGAAAGCUCCGGCGGUAAAGGAUGAGCAUGCGUCCCAUUAGCUUGUUGGUGAGGUAACGGCUCACCAAGGCGACGAUGGGUAGGGGGCCUGAGAGGGCGAUCCCCCACACUGGUACUGAGACACGGACCAGACUCCUACGGGAGGCAGCAGUGAGGAAUAUUGGGCAAUGGAGGCAACUCUGACCCAGCCAUGCCGCGUGCAGGAAGACGGUCCUCUGGAUUGUAAACUGCUUUUAUUAGGGAAUAAACCCUCCUACGUGUAGGAGGCUGAAGGUACCUGAUGAAUAAGCAUCGGCUAACUCCGUGCCAGCAGCCGCGGUAAUACGGAGGAUGCAAGCGUUAUCCGGAUUUAUUGGGUUUAAAGGGUCCGUAGGCGGGUAUUUAAGUCAGUGGAGAAAGCCCACAGCUCAACUGUGGAACUGCCAUUGAUACUGGAUGUCUUGAGUAUAGUAGAAGUAGGCGGAAUAGGGCAUGUAGCGGUGAAAUGCAUAGAUAUGCCCUAGAACACCGAUUGCGAAGGCAGCUUACUAUGUUAUAACUGACGCUGAGGGACGAAAGCGUGGGGAGCAAACAGGAUUAGAUACCCUGGUAGUCCACGCCGUAAACGAUGAUUACUCGCUGCUGGCGAUAUACAGUCAGUGGCCAAGCGAAAGCAUUAAGUAAUCCACCUGGGGAGUACGCCGGCAACGGUGAAACUCAAGGAAUUGACGGGGGCCCGCACAAG